rnacentral:tRNA from 1 species
AAAGAAUUAGUUAAAUUUAUAACAUUAAUAUGUCAUAUUAAAAUUAUUUAAAUAAAAAUAUUCUUUU